UGAGGAAUAUUGGUCAAUGGGCGAGAGCCUGAACCAGCCAAGUAGCGUGCAGGAUGACGGCCCUAUGGGUUGUAAACUGCUUUUAUAUGGGAAUAAAGUGAGGGACGUGUCCCUUAUUGCAUGUACCAUACGAAUAAGGACCGGCUAAUUCCGUGCCAGCAGCCGCGGUAAUACGGAAGGUCCAGGCGUUAUCCGGAUUUAUUGGGUUUAAAGGGAGCGUAGGCUGUUUGUUAAGCGUGUUGUGAAAUGUAAGAGCUCAACUUUUAGAUUGCAGCGCGAACUGGCAGACUUGAGUGCGCACAACGUAGGCGGAAUUCAUGGUGUAGCGGUGAAAUGCUUAGAUAUCAUGACGAACUCCGAUUGCGAAGGCAGCUUACGGGAGCGCAACUAACGCUAAAGCUCGAAGGUGCGGGUAUCGAACAGG
rnacentral:rRNA from 1 species